rnacentral:rRNA from 1 species
AACGCGAAGAACCUUACCUACUCUUGACAUCCAGAGAGCUUAGCAGAGAUGCUUUGGUGCCUUCGGGAACGCUGAGACAGGUGCUGCAUGGCUGUCGUCAGCUCGUGUUGUGAAAUGUUGGGUUAAGUCCCGCAACGAGCGCAACCCUUAUCCUUUGUUGCCAGCGAUUCGGUCGGGAACUCAAAGGAGACUGCCGGUGAUAAACCGGAGGAAGGUGGGGAUGACGUCAAGUCAUCAUGGCCCUUACGAGUAGGGCUACACACGUGCUACAAUGGCGCAUACAAAGAGAAGCGACCUCGCGAGAGCAAGCGGACCUCACAAAGUGCGUCGUAGUCCGGAUCGGAGUCUGCAACUCGACUCCGUGAAGUCGGAAUCGCUAGUAAUCGUGGAUCAGAAUGCCACGGUGAAUACGUUCCCGGGUCUUGUACACACGC